rnacentral:rRNA from 1 species
AUUGAACGCUGGCGGCAUGCCUUACACAUGCAAGUCGAACGGUACGCGGGGCAACCUGGCGACGAGUGGCGAAAGGGUGGGUAAUGUAACGGAACGGGCCCAGGCGGGGGGGAUAACUGCCCGAAAGAGCAGCCAAUACCGCAAACGAACUGAGGGUGAAAGCGGGGGAUCGCAAGACCUCGCGCCAUUUGAAGGGGCGAUAACAGAUUAGGUAGUCGGGGGGGUAAAGGGCCACCAAGCCAAAGAUCUGUAGCUGGUCUGAGAGGACGACCAGCCACACUGGGACUGAGACACGGCCCAGACUCCUACGGGAGGCAGCAGUGGGGAAUUUUGGACAAUGGACGCAAGUCUGAUCCAGCAAUGCCGCGUGCAGGAAGAAGGCCUUCGGGUUGUAAACUGCUUUUGUCAGGGAAGAAAUCCUCUAGGUUAAUACCCUUGGGGGGAUGACGGUACCUGAAGAAUAAGCACCGGCUAACUACGUGCCAGCAGCCGCAGUAACAC